UCCAGCUAAUCGCCGGCAGUCCCCAUAGAGUGCCCAGCAUAACCUGAUGGCAACUAAGGGUAAAGGUUGCGCUCGUUGCGGGACUUAACCCAACACUUCACAGCACGAGCUGACGACAGCCAUGCAGCACCUGUGUAAAGGUCCCUUGCGGGAAGAUCCACUUUCAUGGACUGUCCUAAACAUGUCAAGCCUGGGUAAGGUUCUUCGCGUAGCCUCGAAUUAAACCACAUGCUCCACCGCUUGUGCGGGUCCCCGUCAAUUUCUUUGAGUUUCAGUCUUGCGACCGUACUCCCCAGGUGGUGGAUUUAAUGAGAUAUCGUCGGCAGUGAAGGGAUCAACACCUCCACCACCUAAUCCACAUCGUUUAUGGCUAGGACUAC
rnacentral:misc_RNA from 1 species